rnacentral:rRNA from 1 species
CCUACGGGUGGCAGCAGUGAGGAAUAUUGGUCAAUGGGCGGAAGCCUGAACCAGCCAAGUAGCGUGAAGGAUGACUGCCCUACGGGUUGUAAACUUCUUUUAUCAAGGAAAAAAGUGAGGCACGUGUGCCUUUCUGGAUGGAUGUUAGGAACAACGAUCGGCGAACUCCGGGCCACCAGCCGCGGUAAUACGGAGGAUCCGAGCCUUAUCCGGAUUUUUUGGGUUUAAAGGGAGGGAAGAUGGGUUGUUAAGGAAGUGGUGAAAGUUUCCGGUGCAACCGUCAAAGUGCCAUUGAUACUGGCAGCCUUGAGUGCGGUUGAGGUAGGCGGAAUGCGUGGUGUAGCGGUGAAAUGCUUAGAUAUCACGCAGAACUCCGAUUGCGAAGGCAGCCCACUAAACUGCCACUGACGUUGAUGCUCGAAAGUGUGGGUAUCAAACAGGAUUAGAUACCCCAGUAGUC